rnacentral:rRNA from 1 species
ACGGGUGCGUAACGCGUGGGAAUCUGCCCUUAGGUUCGGAAUAACAGUUGGAAACGACUGCUAAUACCGGAUGAUGACGUAAGUCCAAAGAUUUAUCGCCUGAGGAUGAGCCCGCGUAGGAUUAGCUAGUUGGUGUGGUAAGAGCGCACCAAGGCGACGAUCCUUAGCUGGUCUGAGAGGAUGAUCAGCCACACUGGGACUGAGACACGGCCCAGACUCCUACGGGAGGCAGCAGUGGGGAAUAUUGGACAAUGGGCGCAAGCCUGAUCCAGCAAUGCCGCGUGAGUGAUGAAGGCCUUAGGGUUGUAAAGCUCUUUUACCCGGGAUGAUAAUGACAGUACCGGGAGAAUAAGCUCCGGCUAACUCCGUGCCAGCAGCCGCGGUAAUACGGAGGGAGCUAGCGUUGUUCGGAAUUACUGGGCGUAAAGCGCACGUAGGCGGCUUUGUAAGUUAGAGGUGAAAGCCUGGAGCUCAACCCCAGAAUUGCCUUUAAGACUGCAUCGCUUGAAUCCAGGAGAGGUGAGUGGAAUUCCGAGUGUAGAGGUGAAAUUCGUAGA